rnacentral:rRNA from 1 species
GGGUUGUGAGGUUAAGCGACUAAGCGUACACGGUGGAUGCCCUGGCAGUCAGAGGCGAUGAAGGGCGUGCUAAUCUGCGAUAAGCGCCGGUAAGGUGAUAUGAACCGUUAUAACCGGCGAUACCCGAAUGGGGAAACCCAGUGUGACUCGUCACACUAUCAUUAACUGAAUCCAUAGGUUAAUGAGGCGAACCGGGGGAACUGAAACAUCUAAGUACCCCGAGGAAAAGAAAUCAACCGAGAUUCCCCCAGUAGCGGCGAGCGAACGGGGAGGAGCCCAGAGCCUGAAUCAGCAUGUGUGUUAGUGGAAGCGUCUGGAAAGACGCGCGAUACAGGGUGACAGCCCCGUACACAAAAGCGCAUGUGCUGUGAGCUCGAUGAGUAGGGCGGGACACGUGGUAUCCUGUCUGAAUAUGGGGGGACCAUCCUCCAAGGCUAAAUACUCCUGACUGACCGAUAGUGAACCAGUACCGUGAGGGAAAGGCGAAAAGAACCCCGGCGAGGGGAGUGAAAAAGAACCUGAAACCGUGUACGUACAAGCAGUGGGAGCACCCUUUGGGGUGUGACUGCGUACCUUUUGUAUAAUGGGUCAGCGACUUAUAUUCUGUAGCAAGGUUAACCGAAUAGGGGAGCCGGAGGGAAACCGAGUCUUAAUUGGGCGUUAAGUUGCAGGGUAUAGACCCGAAACCCGGUGAUCUAGCCAUGGGCAGGUUGAAGGUUGGGUAACACUAACUGGAGGACCGAACCGACUAAUGUUGAAAAAUUAGCGGAUGACCUGUGGCUGGGGGUGAAAGGCCAAUCAAACCGGGAGAUAGCUGGUUCUCCCCGAAAGCUAUUUAGGUAGCGCCUCGUGAAUUCAUCUCCGGGGGUAGAGCACUGUUUCGGCUAGGGGGCCAUCCCGGCUUACCAACCCGAUGCAAACUGCGAAUACCGGAGAAUGUUAUCACGGGAGACACACGGCGGGUGCUAACGUCCGUCGUGAAGAGGGAAACAACCCAGACCGCCAGCUAAGGUCCCAAAGUCAUGGUUAAGUGGGAAACGAUGUGGGAAGGCCCAGACAGCCAGGAUGUUGGCUUAGAAGCAGCCAUCAUUUAAAGAAAGCGUAAUAGCUCACUGGUCGAGUCGGCCUGCGCGGAAGAUGUAACGGGGCUAAACCAUGCACCGAAGCUGCGGCAGCGA